rnacentral:rRNA from 1 species
UACCUGCAGCUCGAGUGGUGACCGCUAUUAUUGGGCCUAAAACGUCCGUAGCCGGUCUUGUAAAUGCCUGGGUAAAUCGUGUAGCUUAACUAUACGAAUUCCGGGUAGACUGCUGGACUUGAGAUCGGGAGAGGCUAGAGGUACUCCUGGGGUAGAGGUGAAAUUUUGUAAUCCUAGGGGGACCACCAGUGGCGAAGGCGUCUAGCUAGAACGAGUCUGACGGUGAGGGACGAAGCCCUGGGGCGCAAACCGGAUUAGAUACCCCCGUA